rnacentral:lncRNA from 1 species
CAUGGUCAUAAUGAGCCAUCCUAUGCUUGUCUAUUAUUUAGCCAUUUGACUCUGUGGCUCCUAACACCUACGAGAGACCUGAGAGGCCCUUGGAAAGGAGUGACUGAGAGCAGCACGGUCCCUAACCAAGAACAGACACAUGUGCAGGCCAGAUUCUGUGUUUCCAAGGUUAAGUUUGAAGAAAGAGAGAACACUAACCUCAUCAUGAUGACACGUGUAGGAAGUAGCCCUGAUACCAAAUGCAACUCUGGCUCAAAGACAGGCUUGGUGGAAAAACUGACAUUCGAACGGCUCACCACUUGAAAAGGAAGAGUACAGAAUACUGUCAAAGACUCACUUGAGAGCAGUUUUCUAUCGCCUCAAGAGGAAGUAUCCUUGUUUUAGCGAAAAAGAAUCGCUCAGAUUCAGAAUCUUUAGAGAAAUAACAUCAACCGAGCAAAAGGAACACUCCCACACACUGGCCUGUACACGUCUUUACUGCUUCCUGUUGGAUCGGCACACAGUGGAUGUAUCUUGAAGCAUUAUCAAUUUUAUUCUCCCAAUUUUAAGGAUCCCCAUGUGUCUUACUGGGGAUAGUGCAGAGCCUCCUGAGAUAGAGGAACAGGGGACCCAGAGAUGAAACAAAAGGGAGUGCAAGUUAAGAAAUUAUUUCUAUAUAAAAUUAUUCCAGCUUAAAAAAGAUUUCGUUUUAACAGAACAAUGACUAUUCUGUGAAGUCAAUCUGCGACCCUUGUAACAAAACAUACUGCGCAUUGUGACUAAAAAGCAUGGGCUUUGAAGUAUGACAAUUUGCUUCAAAUCCUGGUGCCUCUAAUGAGAUCUUGGGAAUAUUUUUUAACACUUGAAGGCUAAAUCUCCUCCUUAGUAAAAUGAGGAUAAUACUUUCAUUAGAGGGUUCUUUGAGAAAUAAAAGUGAUCAUUUAAAAUACA